GUUGAUCCUNGCUCAGGACGAACGCUGACGGCAUGCUUCAUACAUGCAAGUCGAACGAGAAAGCUUCCUUCGGGAAGUGAGUAAAGUGGCGAACGGGUGCGUAACACGUGGGUAAUCUUCCUCGAAGUCGGGGAUAACCUUCCUAACGGGGGGCUAAUACCGGAUGUGUUUACUGGCAGGCAUCUGCCAGUGAAUGAAGAUGGCGUGCAGAGCGCUAUCGCUUCGAGAUGAGCCCGCGGCCUAUUAGCUAGUUGGUAGGGUAACGGCCUACCAAGGCUACAAUGGGUAGCCGGCCUGAGAGGGUGUCCGGCCACAUUGGGACUGAGAUACGGCCCAGACUCCUACGGGAGGCAGCAGUAGGGAAUAUUGCGCAAUGGGCGAAAGCCUGACGCAGCAAUGCCGUGUGAGCGAUGAAGGCCUUCGGGUCGUAAAGCUCUGUCAGGUGGGAAGAAACCUGGCUGGUUAAGAACACUGGCCAGCUGACUGUACCAUCAGAGGAAGCUCCGGCUAACUCCGUGCCAGCAGCCGCGGUAAUACGGAGGGAGCAAGCGUUGUUCGGAAUUACUGGGCGUAAAGAGCGCGUAGGCGGUUUGGUAAGUCAGAUGUGAAAUCCAAUGGCUCAACCAUUUGAACUGCAUAUGAUACUGCCAGACUUGAGAUCAGUAGAGGAGAGCGGAAUUCCCAGUGUAGCGGUGGAAUGCGUAGAUAUUGGGAAGAACACCGGUGGCGAAGGCGGCUCUCUGGACUGGUUCUGACGCUGAGGCGCGAAAGCUAGGGGAGCAAACAGGAUUAGAUACCCUGGUAGUCCUAGCCGUAAACGAUGGGUACUAGGUGUUGGGUGUUUCCAUGCAUUCAGUGCCGUAGCUAACGCAUUAAGUACCCCGCCUGGGGAGUACGACCGCAAGGUUGAAACUCAAAGGAAUUGACGGGGGCCCGCACAAGCGGUGGAGCAUGUGGUUCAAUUCGAAGCAACGCGAAGAACUUUACCCGGGCUUGACAUAUAAGCGCAAGACUGGAAACAGGUNCCUCCCUUCGG
rnacentral:rRNA from 1 species